rnacentral:tRNA from 5 species
CUCAGCUGGAUAGAGUACUCGGCUACGAACCGAGCGGUCGGAGGUUCGAAUCCUCCCGGAUGCACCA